rnacentral:rRNA from 2 species
UACCCGCAGCCCAAGUGGUGGUCGAUAUUAUUGAGUCUAAAACGUUCGUAGCCUGUUCAAUAAAUCCUUGGGUAAAUCGGUGAGCUUAACUUACCGACUUCCGAGGCGACUGUUGAACUUGGGACCGGGAGAGGCAAGAGGUACUUCUGGGGUAGGGGUAAAAUCCUGUAAUCCUAGAAGGACCACCGGUGGCGAAGGCGUCUUGCUAGAACGGAUCCGACGGUGAGGGACGAAGCCCUGGGGCGCAAAC